rnacentral:lncRNA from 1 species
UGAGCAGAUUUUUUUUCCUCCCACUCUCCAGGGGAUAUGAUCUGGUGAGGAAGACUGAAUCAGCGUAGAAAGGUCAUUUUUCUUUGAAUAUCUGAAUUAUGAGAAAGGAUUCCUAGCAUCACACCAAGUGUUUUAAUGCUACUGCCAGAGACAAAACACUGGUCCAGAGAGACCUCGUUUCUGAACCAGGAUGAAAGGGACCCUCCCACCAUCAAAGGCUGAUCCCUUCAUUUGCUGUAGAAGCCGUCCCCUCUUUUCCCGUGGACUUUGUUCCUGUUUGGUUCCCUUUUUCUUACAUCAUUAUUCUCUCUGUCUCUGGUAAGUCAUUCUCAUUGGCAUAACAUGUUCUAGCAUCUCCUAUAUUUAAAAACAAAGUCUUAACACCAUAUUCUUUCUUAGCUACUACCUUGAUUUUCUAAGGUUGUCUACAUGUGUCCAUAUUUCUUCUUCCUGUUUGCUCAUUUCUCCCUAUUAUUUUACAUUUUAAUUGAAAA